rnacentral:rRNA from 1 species
AUAGUAUGGUGAGAUUGCAUGAUAGCACCAUUAAAGAUUUAUUGGUAAACGAUGGGGAUGCGUUCCAUUAGGUAGUAGGCGGGGUAACGGCCCACCUAGCCGACGAUGGAUAGGGGUUCUGAGAGGAAGGUCCCCCACAUUGGAACUGAGACGCGGUCCAAACUCCUACGGGAGGCAGCAGUGAGGAAUAUUGGUCAAUGGGCGAGAGCCUGAACCAGCCAAGUAGCGUGAAGGAUGAAGGUCCUACGGAUUGUAAACUUCUUUUAUACGGGAAUAAAGUAUCCUACGUGUAGGAUUUUGUAUGUACCGUAUGAAUAAGCAUCGGCUAACUCCGUGCCAGCAGCCGCGGUAAUACGGAGGAUGCGAGCGUUAUCCGGGUUUAUUGGGUUUAAAGGGAGCGCAGACGGGAGAUUAAGUCAGUUGUGAAAGUUUGCGGCUCAACCGUAAAAUUGCAGUUGAUACUGGUUUCCUUGAGUGCAGUUGAGGCAGGCGGAAUUCGUGGUGUAGCGGUGAAAUGCUUAGAUAUCACGAAAAACCCCGAUUGCGAAGGCAGCUUGCUAAACUGUAACUGACGUUCAUGCUCGAAAGUGUGGGUAUCAAACAGGAUUAGAUACCCUGCUAGUC